UACGUAGGGGGCAAGCGUUGUCCGGAUUUAUUGGGCGUAAAGAGCGUGUAGGCGGCCAAGCAGGUCAGCUGUGAAAACUCGAGGCUCAACCUCGAGACGCCGGUGGAAACCAUCAGGCUAGAGUCCGGAAGAGGAGAGUGGAAUUCCCGGUGUAGCGGUGAAAUGCGCAGAUAUCGGGAAGAACACCCGUGGCGAAGGCGGCUCUCUGGGACGGUACUGACGCUGAGACGCGAAAGCGUGGGGAGCGAACAGG
rnacentral:rRNA from 1 species